AUGUGUUACGUGGUGAAUCCAUUGGUCACUCUUGUGGUGAAUCCUGGAUUCAUAUCCUUUCACUUUCUCUGGAGUUCAGGGUCCUUUUUCACUUCUGUUGAAUAUUCAUUGCAGAAUAUGGUUUCAACUCCCAAGCUAGUUAAUAUUGCUUCAUUUGAGACUGCAAAAAAUGUCAUUGGAAAUAAACAGUGGAUAUACAAGACAAAUGUAUGAACACAAGGCCAACUUAAGGAUACAUCCCCAACAGGUAAUGUUAUUUCAACAGAAGCUUUCAGUUAAAGGCAAUAUUGUCUAGACAAAGUCAGUUUGCCUUUAAAUAAAAGUUCUAAAAAUAUAGAAAGCA
rnacentral:lncRNA from 1 species